GGAUCGAACUCGGGACCUUGUGCCUGCAAGGCAGGCGGUGGAACCACUGAGCUAAAUCCCCAGCCCUCAUAAGUGGGCUUUUAAGAAGUGAUUGGAUAAUGGUGGCAUGAUACUCGUCAGUGGAUUAGUCUACUGACAAAAUUUCUUGAAAAGCCUGAAGUCAGGACUGGGCUUUGAUCGAGUUAUGACUGUUGUCAGCAGAAGACAAGACUCCUUCCACAAUUGCUGGCACAGCCCAAUUCCUCUUGAUGAAGACAGUAAUGAGUCAUGCCAUUGCAUGGACUGUUUUCAGGAAGGCAGUCAAACCAGUGAUUUCUAAAACCAUGGAAUUCCAUGGAAUCAUCUUGGGAGAGAGUGUUGCCUGAGAAAAAAAGAGAGCCAAUGAUUAUGUCCUGGAAAGAUCUCAGCUUUUAGGGGUUAAGCAGAAGAGGAGGAGUAGGUAAAGGAGGCUGAGCAAUGAACACUGGAGGACCAAAAAGAAAAGUUUUUUGGACGGGACGAUGUGUUUCGAUUUUCUGUUCUGCCGUCCAGUCUGAAGUGGGGGCAGCAACAGGAAAAGAACCUGUGGUUAUCUUCCCAUCCCGGCUAAGUCAGGUCCUGGACCGUCCAAAGUUGGACUUUGGCACUUUCCCUCUCAGCAACAUUCGAAAGGCUCCCUCGAAGAAUACGAUUUUGUGCUUAAGAGGAAGAGCGCUGGGAGAUGAGCGAGGGGGCGAGCGAGCCGGAAAGAGGAGCGCGGAGAGCGCGGCCGCCCCGCCGUCGGAGGCGCACAGAGC
ensembl:lncRNA